rnacentral:rRNA from 1 species
CCAAUAGCGUAUAUUAGUGUUGUUGCGGUUAAAAAGCUCGUAGUUGAAUUUCGGGAUUGGGAUAUAUCGGUCGUGCCUUUAGGGGGCAUGAAUCGGUGUGUGGCCAAUUCUCACCUUCUGGUGAAUUGGGAUGCUCUCGGGUGUUUCAAUGAACUAGGACUUUUACUUUGAAAAAAUUAGAGUGUUUAAAGCGGGCAUUUUUGCUUGAAUACGUUAGCAUGGAAUAAUAAAAUAGGACGAUGGUUCUAUUUUGUUGGUUUUAGGACCACGUAAUGAUUAAUAGGGAUAGUUGGGGGCAUUAGUAUUCAAUUGUCAGAGGUGAAAUUCUUGGAUUUAUUGAGGACUAACUACUGCGAAAGCAUUUGCCAAGGAUGUUUUCAUUAAUCAAGAACGAAAGUUAGGGGAUCAAAGACGAUUUAUGUACGUCGUAGUCUUAACCAUAAACUAUGCCGACUAGGAAUCAGACAAAGUUAAUUUUUUAACGACUUGUUUGGUACCUUACG